GCUCAUCGCAGGAGCCCCGGACUUCUAAUCCGGGAGUCGUGGGUUUGACUCCCAC
rnacentral:tRNA from 1 species